GCAGUGACCAGUUAAUCCCCUGAGAACUUUCCCCUCCAGCACCCGGGAAAAUGAGGAUUUGGCUCCAUUUCGUUUUCAUUGUAGCAGCUCUGGAAGGUGUCCGGUCCCAGGUGCAGCUGGUGGAGUCCGGAGGGGAUGUGAAAAAGCCCGGAGACUCUCUCCGCCUCUCCUGCAAAGCCUCCGGCUUCACCUUCGGUGACUACAGCAUGAACUGGGUCCGACAGGCUCCUGGCAAGGGGCUAGAAUGGGUCGCAGGUAUAAGCUACUAGGCGGGCAGUACUAUACAUUACGCCAACGCGGUCAAAGGCCGAUUCACCAUCUCCAGAGACAACCCCAACAACCUGCUGUAUCUGCAAAUGACCGGCCUGAAGCCCGAGGACACCGCCCGGUAUUACUGUGCGAGAGACACAGUGAGAGGAAGCCGGUCUGAGCUCAGACAAAAACCUCCCAUUGCGGUCAGUAGGGAAAGUCCCAACUGGCGAGACCCUGACACUCCCGGGACUGGAAACUGA